rnacentral:rRNA from 1 species
GAUGAACGCUGGCGGCGUGCUUAACACAUGCAAGUCGAACGAUGAAGGGGGAGCUUGCUCCUCUGGAUUAGUGGCGAACGGGUGAGUAACACGUGAGCAAUCUGCCCCUGACUCUGGGAUAAGCGCUGGAAACGGCGUCUAAUACCGGAUACGAGCCGAGCAGGCAUCUGCAUCGGUUGGACAGAACUUCGGUCAGGGAUGAGCUCGCGGCCUAUCAGCGUGUUGGUGAGGUAAUGGCUCACCAAGGCGACGACGGGUAGCCGGCCUGAGAGGGUGACCGGCCACACUGGGACUGAGACACGGCCCAGACUCCUACGGGAGGCAGCAGUGGGGAAUAUUGCACAAUGGGCGGAAGCCUGAUGCAGCAACGCCGCGUGAGGGACGAAGGCCUUCGGGUUGUAAACCUCUUUUAGCAGGGAAGAAGCGAGAGUGACGGUACCUGCAGAAAAAGCACCGGCUAACUACGUGCCAGCAGCCGCCGUAA